UGUCUACAAUGAUCCUGCCCUAAACCUGAACUUCUGUUGGAAAAACUUAAUAUGGAUCUGUCUUCUGAGAU